rnacentral:lncRNA from 1 species
ACUCCGAGGUCCCCGCUGAGACGGGUGGGCAGAGGUGAAGACAGAGGGACACACUCGGCGCUUGCAGAUUCACUUGGUGUUCGUGUGGCCCUUGAUUCCUUCCUCUCAUUACCCAGCUAAACUAACUUUUUAUCACUUGUUCUUUUUGCCACACUCUUCUGAACAGACAGUAGAAUAUUAGCUUUGGAAUGGGCGAGAGCCGCAAAUGUUGUCUCCCCAGAUGCUGUCUUUCUUUAGAGAAGGAGCUCUGGGAGGGGAUGACUCUCCAGUAGCACCAGGCUGCUCCCCACUUCUCUGACCCCAGUGCGCCUGGUCAGCCUGAGGAGGCAGCCCGCCGACUGACAUCUCAUCCUCUGAGGCUCAGGGGAGUGAGGGCCCUGGAGGGCGAUGCCUCCUCUUCCUCGAUGUGAGCAAGUCCUCCGUCACCUCGUAACUCAGCAUGCAGCCCACGGGCAGAGCCCUGGCCGGGAGUUGACAGCACAACUUCAGCCUCAUCUGUACCUCCAAAUUGGAAUCCGCAGUGACCAGCCCAGGACUUCCGCCUGUGCUAGCACUGGGGAUGCUCCACCUGCUCUUCGGCCCAGCAAGGGUGUGCAGAGUGACAGCCAGGGGCCGUGUGGCACUGCCAGCCCACCUGGUCCAAGGCAAGUGCUCAUCUGCUCUGACCCUGGGCCCGCCGUCCUGGACACUGCAGGUGGACGUCGUGUGACCAUCGUUGUGUCUGGCUUCUGUCCCUCAGCACCUGUGUCCGAGGUCCAUCCCUGUGGUGUGGCUCGGUGCUUCUUCUGGGGGCUGAGUGACGCUCCUGGCAUGGACAGACCGUGUCUUACCUGGUCAGUCAGCGGCUGGUAGAGAAGUGGGCGAUUUCUAC